GACGAACGCUGGCGGCGUGCUUAACACAUGCAAGUCGAACGGAAAGGCCCUGCUUUUGUGGGGUGCUCGAGUGGCGAACGGGUGAGUAACACGUGAGUAACCUGCCCUUGACUUUGGGAUAACUUCAGGAAACUGGGGCUAAUACCGGAUAGGAGCUCCUGCUGCAUGGGGGGGGUUGGAAAGUUUCGGCGGUUGGGGAUGGACUCGCGGCUUAUCAGCUUGUUGGUGGGGUAGUGGCUUACCAAGGCUUUGACGGGUAGCCGGCCUGAGAGGGUGACCGGCCACAUUGGGACUGAGAUACGGACCAGACUCCUACGGGAGGCAGCAGUGGGGAAUAUUGCACAAUGGGCGGAAGCCUGAUGCAGCAACGCCGCGUGCGGGAUGACGGCCUUCGGGUUGUAAACCGCUUUCGCCUGUGACGAAGCGUGAGUGACGGUAAUGGGUAAAGAAGCACCGGCUAACUACGUG
rnacentral:rRNA from 1 species